rnacentral:rRNA from 1 species
UACGGUAGGGUGCAAGCGUUGUCCGGAAUUAUUGGGCGUAAAGAGCUCGUAGGCGGUUUGUCGCGUCUGCUGUGAAAUCCCGAGGCUCAACCUCGGGCCUGCAGUGGGUACGGGCAGACUGGAGUGCGGUAGGGGAGAAUGGAAUUCCCGGUGUAGUGGUGGAAUGCGUAGAUAUCGGGAGGAACACCAGUGGCGAAGGCGGUUGCCUGGAGCUUUGCUGACGCUGAGGCGCGAAAAGCGUGGGGGAGCGAUCCGG